rnacentral:lncRNA from 1 species
GUUCUGGUAGGUUUCCCGACUAAAAAAAGGCCCUGAUACUAUCUCUGAUAGGGACAGGUAAUAAGCAUUCACUAAACUGCCUAAUGAGCAUCUUGGUGGAGAUUAAAGGCUGGAAAAGCAAGGAUCUGCGUGGACUGGGUUUGAAUUGUCACGUGGCGGAAGAAGGGGGUUGGAUGGACAUAGGGUUUGGCCUGGAGACGCUGAAAAUUGAAAUUAAAGCAGAAGACACUUCUGGAAACAAGGAAAACCUUUUCUGUAAGGAACAUAAAAUUCUUUGAGUGAGAACUAAAUAAGAGUGUGGAGUGGCUUUCCUUUGAGGUGUUUGUGAAGAAAAUACAUCAUGGCUGCUGUGCCUGCUUAGUCCUGGGUGACUGAAAUCCGUCAUGACAUCAACCAAGGCCUGGGUUAACUUUUUCUUCUUAACUAGAAAAUUUCUUGAUAACCCAUAUUACUGAAAAGAAUUGACAGAUAUUUGACAGAUAUAACCUAUCCAUUUAUUCAUUUGUAUGCAAAAUCUAUUUUGUAUUUACGUGUAACAUUGUCCUUUGCACUAUUACUUUAAUGGCAAGUUUAUUACUCUGUAUCUGUUUCAAAGUUUGCAUACCCAGGCCUCAGGCCACAGUCACAAGGUUGGACAAACUCACCUUCCAGAUCCCCGUCUAGUUCCUAGAACCUUCUCAUGUGCCCUGCCAGAGGCACCUGGAGAUGUGGGGGGUUGCCUGAGCCGAGAAAGACAUUUCAUCUUUAAAAAGAAUGUGGAGCAACAAAAUAAAUAAAGUAGUAUUGGAUUAUGACCCA